GAUGAAUGCUGGCGGCGUGCUUAACACAUGCAAGUCGAGCGGAAAGGCCCUUCGGGGUACUCGAGCGGCGGACGGCUGAGUAACGCGUGGGAACAUGCCCCAAAGUGAGGAAUAACUGCCCGAAAGGGUGGUUAAUGCCGCAUAUGAUCUUCGGAUUAAAGGAUUUAUCCGCUUUGGGAGUGGCCUGCGUAUGAUUAGUUAGUUGGUGAGGUAAUGGCUCACCAAGCCGACGAUCAUUAGCUGGUCUGAGAGGAUGACCAGCCAGACUGGAACUGGGACACGGUCCAGACUCCUACGGGAGGCAGCAGUGAGGAAUAUUCCACAAUGGGCGAAAGCCUGAUGGAGCAACGCCGCGUGAAGGAUGAAGGCCCUCGGGUUGUAAACUUCUUUUAUAAGUGAAGAAUAUGACGGUAACUUAUGAAUAAGCACCGGCUAACUACGUGCCAGCAGCCGCAGUA
rnacentral:rRNA from 1 species